AUUGAACGCUGGCGGCAGGCCUAACACAUGCAAGUCGAACGAGUGGCGGACGGGUGAGUAAUGUCUGGGAAACUGCCUGAUGGAGGGGGAUAACUACUGGAAACGGUAGCUAAUACCGCAUACCAUCAGAUGUGCCCAGAUGGGAUUAGCUAGUUGGUGGGGUAACGGCUCCACAAGGCGACGAUCCCUAGCUGUUCUGAGAGGAUGACCAGCCAGACUGAAACUGAGACCCGGUCCAGACUCCUACGGGAGGCAGCCGUGGUGAAUCUUGCACAAUGGGCGCAAUCCUGAUGCAGCCCUGCCGCGUGUAUGAAGAAGGCCUUCGGGUUUUAAAGUACUUUCAGCGGGGAGGCGUUACCCGCAGAAGAAGCACCGGCUAACUCCGUGCCAGCAGCCGCGGUAAUUC
rnacentral:rRNA from 1 species